rnacentral:rRNA from 1 species
UACGAAGGGGGCUAGCGUUGCUCGGAAUCACUGGGCGUAAAGGGUGCGUAGGCAGGUCUUUAAGUCAGGGGUGAAAUCCUGGGGCUCAACUCCAGAACUGCCUUUGAUACUGAAGAUCUUGAGUUCGGGAGAGGUGAGUGGAACUGCGAGUGUAGAGGUGAAAUUCGUAGAUAUUCGCAAGAACACCAGUGGCGAAGGCGGCUCACUGGCCCGAUACUGACGCUGAGGCACGAAAGCGUGGGGAGCAAACAGG